rnacentral:rRNA from 1 species
CUGCUGCCUUCCGUAGGAGUUUGGGCCGUGUCUCAGUCCCAAUGUGGCCGGUCACCCUCUCAGGUCGGCUACUGAUCGUCGGCUUGGUGGGCCGUUACCCCACCAACUACCUAAUCAGACGCGGGUCCCUCCUAUACCACUAUCGUUUUUCACUCAGCGCCAUGCGGCUCCGUGCGCUUAUGCGGUAUUAGCAGUCAUUUCUAACUGUUAUCCCCCUGUAUAGGGCAGGUUCCCCACGCGUUACUCACCCGUCCGCCG